CAAAAACACGCCGAAUAAAAUAAUCCAUUCAUCGCUUCCGAGGUUGGAGAUAUUCAUACGACGCUUCUAAACUUCCACGGAAAAGAGAGACACGAACGCACAAGUUUAGUUGCCAUGGGUAAAGAUGGUACAUUCAAGAUAAUGUCAACGUACACACUACAGAGAAAAUGCAGCAUAAUGUAAACAGUCGAAUGGACUCACGCACACAGCAAAACCAUCCAGAGGCACCUAAACGUAACAUAAGGAGCAAUUCACGGUAAAGAAACACACAACUGGUCUGUGACAGAGCAACCACCUUCUCCCCCCCACCCCUCCUAAUAUCAGAAUCAGAAAUGGAAUCAUCUUUAUUGGCCAAGUGUGUAACAACACACAAGGAAUUUGUCCCCAGCAGAGAGAAUGUAACGUCUUAGUUUCUCCUUUGAGACAAAAAUAUGCCACAGUCUGAGUUUCUUUCCCAUUUGGUCUCUUAUAUUUGUUCUUGAAUUGAACUUCUCCAACUUUUGAGUCACAAUGGAAUUGUUCUACCUUGUCGCAGAAUAUUGAUACAGUCCCAUCAUCCCACGUCUGCCUUUCUAUAAGAGAAAGUACCCUGCAAACCAGCCACCUGUUGAAUAAAAAAUAUGCUGUGGUAAUAUGUUUGAGUCACACGAAGGCAAAUGAUUUAUUUUAUGCUUUUCUCUAAAGACACAAUUGAACUGCUCCCUAGUCCCCUGAUUAUAAAAUGGUAACAACCUGUUAACAAACAAACAGACAAGAAAAUGUCAAUUUUAACAUAAUUGAAAUAUAAUA